rnacentral:lncRNA from 1 species
GCCCGCCGCGUCCCCGCCCCCUCAGUUCCACCCCUUGGCCUGCCGGGUCCUCUCAGGCACCCAGCGGAGUUUCGAGUCAGACUUGAGCUCGGGCGUAGCGGCUAGACCGGGCUGUGGCGAUAGAGUCCAAAGAUGGAGGAAGGAGGUCCCAAGCCAAGGAAUGCAGCAUGGGCCUCUAGAAGCUGGAAUGACCCUCACCUCACGGCCAGCAAGAAAUCAGGGAACUCAGUCUUACCCGAGUGAGCAGGAAAUCGAUUCUCCUCUGCAGCCUCUAUAGAGAACACAGCCUGUCAACACCCUGAUUUUGGCCCAAUGAGCCCUGUACCUCCAGAAGUGUAACGUAAUAAAUUUGUGUUGUUUUAAGCUAUUAAGCUGUGGUUAAUUUGUUAUGGCGCCAAGAGAAAACUAACAUGACACAUACUUCUCUAUAUAUUCUUCCCUUCUAGAAUUACCUCUUCCCAAUUUUCC